rnacentral:rRNA from 1 species
GUAGGUGGCAAGCGUUGUCCGGAAUUAUUGGGCGUAAAGCGCGCGCAGGCGGGUUCUUUAAGUCUGAUGUGAAAGCCCACGGGCUCAACCGUGGAGGGUCAUUGGAAACUGGAGAACUUGAGUACAGAAGAGGAAAGCGGAAUUCCACGUGUAGCGGUGAAAUGCGUAGAGAUGUGGAGGAACACCAGUGGCGAAGGCGGCUUUCUGGUCUGUAACUGACGCUGAGGCGCGAAAGCGUGGGGAGCAAACAGGAUUAGAUACCCUGGUAGUCCACGCCGUAAACGAUGAGUGCUAAGUGUUAGGGGGUUUCCGCCCCUUAGUGCUGCAGCUAACGCAUUAAGCACUCCGCCUGGGGAGUACGGCCGCAAGGCUG